UGGGGAAUAUUGCACAAUGGGCGCACGCCUGAUGCAGCCAUGCCGCGGGUAUGAAGAAGGCUUUCGGGUUGUAAAGUAUUUUCAGCGGGGAGGAAGGGAGUAAAGUUAAUACCUUUGCCCAUUGACGUUACCCGCAGAAGAAGCACCGGCUAACUCCGUGCCAGCAGCCGCGGUAAUACGGGGGGUGCAAGCGUUAUUCGGAAUUACUGGGCGUAAAGCGCACGCAGGCGGUUUGUUAAGUCAGAUGUGAAAUCCCCGGGCUCAACCUGGGAACUGCAUCUGAUACUGGCAAGCUUUAGUCUCGUAGAGGGGGGUGGAAUUCCAGGUGUAGCGGUGAGAAGCGUAGAGAUCUGGAGGAAUACCGGUGGCGAAGGCGGCCCCCUGGGCGGAGGCUGACGCUCAGGUGCGAAAGCGUGGGGGGCAAACAGG
rnacentral:rRNA from 1 species